GUCCCUGUGAUGCCAGGAGGGUUUGUCCUCCCAUGUACAAACAACUCCCAGAGCACAAGGGAUGGAAUGUAUAACUUGUUCCUUGGCCAACACCUGUGUUUUACAACAGGAAAGGACUCUGAAGGGAAGUCAGAGCUUUUCAUGGAGUUUGGCAGCUGUGGCUGGCAGACGUGGUGCAUCUGAUGGAGUUCAGGGGGAGCCAGCACUGGUGCUGAGGAGCAGCUCAGUUGCUCUCUGAGAGAUCUGCAGUGCAAAAUUCCUGAGAGCCAGCGAUCCCUGCGAGGCAGCAGCAUGCUGGAGACAUGACAGCGAGGUCAGACUAAAUAUCAGCUCUGUGCCAGGUUGCUGACAUCUUGUCCUGGAGGAAAAGAUCCUGAAAGGGCCUUGAGGAAGUAGCGAGGGUGCUGCAGAAGCUGUGUCCCAAGGAAGCAGUGAUGGCACUAACCCCUCUCCUGGGCGCUGGCAUCCCAGGCUGUGCCUGCGCUUCUCGGGAUGGGCACCUGGCUCUGCCAGCAUCGUCGGGCAUCGCUCCUGUGGCACAGCCUGCUGGGGCAGGUGCUGCUGACCCAG